rnacentral:rRNA from 1 species
CUGGGACUCGCGGCUCUCGAGCGAGUAAGGAAGAGGCAGGCGGCACGAACCACCUGGCUCAAAGCGGGCGAUGCCAAGACAGCAUUUUUCCAGGCCAAGAUCAACUCUCGCAGAAGAAAGAACUUCAUCCACUGUUUGGAGUCAGAGUGCAAACAAGCCACAGAUCACAAAGAGAAGGCAGAAAUGAUCCAUGACCAUUUCACUGCGCUCCUGGGCAGCAAGGCGAGAAGGACGAAGACGAUCGACUGGGAUAGAAUCCAGCUGCCCAGUCUG